UACGAAGGGAGCUAGCGUUGUUCGGAAUCACUGGGCGUAAAGCGCACGUAGGCGGAUGUGUCAGUCAGGGGUGAAAUCCCGGAGCUCAACUUCGGAACUGCCUUUGAUACAGCACAUCUGGAGUCCGGAAGAGGUGGGUGGAAUUCCUAGUGUAGAGGUGAAAUUCGUAGAUAUUAGGAAGAACACCGGUGGCGAAGGCGGCGACCUGGGUCGAGACUGACGCUGAGGCGCGAAAGCGUGGGGAGCAAACAGG
rnacentral:rRNA from 1 species